rnacentral:rRNA from 1 species
AAGAACGCUGGCGGCAGGCCUAAGACAUGCAAGUCGUACGCGAACGACCUUUCGGGGUUAAGUAGAGUGGCGAACGGGUUAGUAACGCGUGGGAACAUACACAGCACAGGGGGAUAACCAUUGGAAACGAUGGCUAAUACCGCAUACGCCCUAAUGGGGAAAGAUUUAUCGGUGUUGGAUUGGCCCGCGUUAGAUUAGCUAGUUGGUGGGGUAAUGGCUCACCAAGGCGACGAUUUAUAGCUGGUUUGAGAGGAUGAUCAGCAACACUGGAACUGAGACACGGUCCAGACUCCUACGGGAGGCAGCAGUCGGGAAUAUUGUGCAAUGGGGGCAACCCUGACACAGCCAUGCCGCGUGAGUGAAGAAGGCCUUAGGGUUGUAAAGCUCUUUCAGAUGUGAGGAUGAUGACGAUAGCAUCAGAAGAAGCUCCGGCUAACUUCGUGCCAGCAGCCGCGGUAAUACGAAGGGAGCUAGCGUUGUUCGGAAUUACUGGGCGUAAAGGGCGUGUANGCGGAUUAUCAAGU